rnacentral:rRNA from 1 species
UACAGAGGGUGCAAGCGUUAAUCGGAAUUACUGGGCGUAAAGCGCGCGUAGGCGGUUAUUUAAGUCGGAUGUGAAAUCCCCGGGCCCAACCUGGGAAUUGCAUUCGAUACUGAGUAACUAGAGUAUGAGAGAGGGAGGUGGAAUUCCACGUGUAGCGGUGAAAUGCGUAGAGAUGUGGAGGAAGACCGGUGGCGAAGGCGGCCUCCUGGCUUAAUACUGACGCUGAGGUGCGAAAGCGUGGGGAGCAAACAGG